ACCACGCCUCUGGCUUUAGGCCUCACCUCUGCCCCGCCCCCAUUCUAGCAGGCCAGUGCAGGCCCCACCCUGCCUCUACACCAGCUCCAGCCACGCCCCUCCUGAACUGGCCUCACCAAGAUCUUCUACCCGCGCUCCCUCCGUUCUUCUGUGUAGCGCACGCAGGCUCCCAAUGCCCACUGGAUCCUCAACUUCGUCGGGUCCACGGCCCAUCACUCCCGCUCCUUACCAUUCCCACAGAUCUAGGCCCUUCCCACCUACCCCUCCAGCACAGAGCGCUCUAUCGGCCCGCCGCUCCACAGCUCCGAUUGCUGGAUUCUCUGCUGACCCUCCUCACCUCAGCACCUCUUGGUCCUUUCUAUCGUAGCACCGCCUUCUUUUGGGGGCCGCCUUUCUCCACAUCCCGCCCACAGGCAUGGCCCCCAACCCCGGAGCUCCGCCUCUUUUCUCUUGAAGCUGAGGAGUGCCUGGAUGGUGCGGGUCUUCCUGCCUGAACUGGGGUCCACCAUGAGGUUUGCGCUACCUCAGGAUCUAACCAGUCAGCAAAAGGAGGCUACAGCCCAUCAUCUGGGAAGUCAGAGCAGGAGCUCAAUGUCCCAAGCAGAAACUGAGGGGUGCCUGGAUGAUGCGGGUCUUCCUGGCUGAAGCGGAGUCCACAACGAGGCAAGUACCACCUGCCCGGGAUACUACCACCUACAGUGGGCUUAGAUCCUUCACAGCACCCCACCACCACUACCAAAAGCCCUCACAGACCUGUCUACAGGCUAAUCUGAUGGAGGAAGCUGCUCAAUUGAGAGUUCCUCUUCCCAGGCUCGAGAGGCAAGAGUAAACUGAUCUGAAAACUGGAGACAACCACAUGGCAGGACUUUGCCUUGGCGUGCCGUAUUGGCCAGUGCAUGAAAUCCCACUUAGGAGUCUUCUGGACAGCAUGCCAGUCUGCUGCAUGAGUUUGCUGCACUUUCUGGCUGCUGUUAUUCCUGAGUAUGAACUCACUCAGGCCUCCCCUUGCUGCUCCUGGAUGAGAUCGUCCUGUUCCUCCAGCCAGGUGC
rnacentral:lncRNA from 1 species